ensembl:lncRNA
CAACUGCUCCCUUCUUUCAGCUCAAAAUUACUGUUGCUGGGUGGUUGACGUCCACUAUGAGGUGGUGCGGUCGGACAGGGGAGGAGCCACAGAGAUAUUUCACCUCAACCUCCUCAAAGCCAAAGUAGGCUGCAUAUGCUGCUGCCUACUUGAUGCCAACAUCAACUAUUUUCGCUAUUACCUCCUGGGACGGUCAUUAACCGCAUGCUCAGACCACACCCCGCUGUAGAGGCUCCAUCGCUUUAUGUAUGGAUGCCAACACCCGUAUCAACCUGUGAUAUCUGGCUUUGCAGCCCUUUAAGUUGAAGAUGAGCUCUGGCACUCUCCCAACCUCAGCCACCAUGAACACAGCAAGGAAACGUUUCAAAGUUGGAAUCCUGAUACUUCUCAGUGGGAAAAUAUCUGAAAAGAACUGACUGUCAGUCAAUGUAGGUAUGGAGGAGAUCAAAACUCCAGACAUCCAGAGGCCCCCAGAACACAAGAGACCAAGGAAGACCCACAGAGGGGCAGCGGCGCCACUGUCCCAGUAAGAGCUAAGGAGAGUCCCAGAUGAGAGCUCAUUCAGCAGCCGCGGAGCAGAAGCCAGGGGGAGUUGCAGUGACGCGCCUGUGAGCUCCGCCGGCAGCCAGCUGUGCCUGAGUGACCGAGCCCCAGGCCGAGAGGCCGGGGGCACCCCACCUCCAUGAGGAUUCGUUCUAAAGAAAGCAGAUAUAUUUACUGCAAAACUUUAAACCUGUGGGUGCUAAAAGUUGUUAUUAAGUUCAACAGUCGAAGUGAAUGGGCUUAUCUGCAUUCUUUCCUGUGGUCACACGUUCUUGGUGUCAACUGAAAAAAAAGAUCAAGGAUGUAAAAACUCACAGGUUUUCCAAACUAUCAGAACAUUGGAGAUGUCAUCAGAUCAUCCAGAGACAGACAGAUGCCCUGGUCAUGCCACACAUGACAAGAAGAGCUGCUGCUGCUACAUUGCAAGCCCCAAUCUGAGCAGCAAUGACCCUCCUGGGAGUGAUGGAAAACUCACCUGCUGAUGUGACGGUCCAGCUGGAACAUCCACUCGACAAAGGUGUUACUUUCCUGUUGAAACACAGACAGGGAGGAAGCAACUGUUUGCUCCUCCUGUCGUACGCCAGCAUGCCCUGAGCAUAGCAUGAGGCAAACUGUGUGUUAUAACUGCAUGUAUGGUGUGUUUACCUUUAGCUGUGUUUAGUUUUUUCCAUUCCCUGUACAACCAUGGUUGGUGAUCUCUGCCAGGGCUGCCAUUUGUCUCUGAUUCUUUUUAUAACUUUUAGGACAAUAAUUUCUAGGUGUAGCCAAAGGGUGGAGGCUGGUUUAAGGAUAUGAUCUCUGUUUUUCUCAGAUGAUGUGGUUUUGUUGGUUUUACACUGGGGCAUUUUCCAGCCAAAUGUGAAGUAUAUGGGAUGAGAAUUAGCAUCUCCAAGUCUGAAGCUAUGGUUCUCUGUUGGCAACGAGUGGAGCACUGAUUCAGGGUUUGAACUGCUGCCCCAAAUGGAGUAGUUUAAGUAAGAGUAGUUUAAAUAAGUAUUACUGAUGAUGACACUGCGCUGGUUGGUUGUGGUGAAGAGAGAGCUGAGCACGAAUGUGAAUCUGGUGAUUUAACAGUUGAUCUGUGUUCUUGCCCGCCCCUGUGGUCACAGGUUCUGGGUAUCAACUGAAAAGAAAGAUCAAGGAUGCAAGCAGCAGAAAUGAUUUUUCUCUCAAGGGUGUUGGAAAUAGAGGCAUUUGGCCAUUUAGGAGUCACUCAGAGUAGAGCCAC